rnacentral:rRNA from 1 species
CCUACGGGAGGCAGCAGUGGGGAAUAUUGGACAAUGGGUGCAAGCCUGAUCCAGCAAUGCCGCGUGAGUGAUGAAGGCCUUAGGGUCGUAAAGCUCUUUUACCAGGGAUGAUAAUGACAGUACCUGGAGAAUAAGCUCCGGCUAACUCCGUGCCAGCAGCCGCGGUAAUACGGAGGGAGCUAGCGUUGUUCGGAAUUACUGGGCGUAAAGCGUACGUAGGCGGUUAUUCAAGUCAGAGGUGAAAGCCCGGGGCUCAACCCCGGAACGGCCUUUGAAACUAGGUAGCUAGAAUCUUGGAGAGGUCAGUGGAAUUCCGAGUGUAGAGGUGAAAUUCGUAGAUAUUCGGAAGAACACCAGUGGCGAAGGCGACUGACUGGACAAGUAUUGACGCUGAGGUACGAAAGCGUGGGGAGCAAACAGGAUUAGAUACCCUGGUAGUCCACGCCGUAAACGAUGAUAACUAGCUGUUCGGGCACUUGGUGCUUGAGUGGCGCAGCUAACGCAUUAAGUUAUCCGCCUGGGGAGUACGGUCGCAAGAUUAAAACUCAAAGGAAUUGACGG